GAAAGAAAGAAAGAAGAAAAAGAAAAAAGAGACAAAGGGACAAGAAGAAGAGACGGUGGGGGAUCAUGACUCGCUUUCUUCAUCUUCUCCUCUUCAUAAAACGGCUCAUUCUCCUUCUCUUUUUACUCCUAAAAAACACACUUCUUU
rnacentral:ribozyme from 13 species